GCCCGGAUAGCUCAGUCGGUAGAGUCAGAGCAUCAGACUUUUAAUCUGAGGGUCCAGGGUUCAAGUCCCUGUUCGGGCG
rnacentral:tRNA from 1 species